rnacentral:rRNA from 1 species
CCUACGGGGGGCAGCAGUCGAGAAUCAUUCACAAUGGGGGAAACCCUGAUGGUGCGACGCCGCGUGGGGGAAUGAAGGUCUUCGGAUUGUAAACCCCUGUCAUGUGGGAGCAAAUUAAAAAGAUAGUACCACAAGAGGAAGAGACGGCUAACUCUGUGCCAGCAGCCGCGGGAAUACAGAGGUCUCAAGCGUUGUUCGGAAUCACUGGGCGUAAAGCGUGCGUAGGCUGUUUCGUAAGUCGUGUGUGAAAGGCGCGGGCUCAACCCGCGGACGGCACAUGAUACUGCGAGACUAGAGUAAUGGAGGGGGAACCGGAAUUCUCGGUGUAGCAGUGAAAUGCGUAGAUAUCGAGAGGAACACUCGUGGCGAAGGCGGGUUCCUGGACAUUAACUGACGCUGAGGCACGAAGGCCAGGGGAGCGAAAGGGAUUAGAUACCCCUGUAGUC